AACUAUCUUCAUCACAUACUUAUAAAUAUAUAUGUGGUGUUGCCAAAUACAGACAAUUAAUAGUCAAUAUAAGCCUUCCUUCAACAAAAAGCGUCACGAGAAGUUAAAAUUAUUUCAUCCAAAAUCUGGAUAGCGCCGAUACCGAGGAAGGUGUGUUUCUCACUUGGCUAGCUUUUAGUGGAGUGAUUUUGACGGCUGAAAACCGUAAAAAGUAUAAGGUUGUUUGUGUCAACUGGUGUUACAUGUGUAAGGAGACGGGUAAAGAACUGGUGUUACAUGUAGACACUUCUAAAAGAAUUUACUGGAACUUGAUAUAAAAACACAUAUCUUAAGAAAAGCUUGAAUAAAAGUAAAAAGUACUGAUAUAAAAAAUUUUAUACAUUAGAAGAGGCUUGCUUAUACAUGAGAUAUAAGAAAAUAGGUUCAGUACAUCUAACAAUGUAGGCUAAUAGUCUUUUUCUAGAGAAAAUAAGAAAGAAAAUUGUAAGAUCUUAAUUUUGUGUAAUCUCAAUUAAAAAAAGUUAUUGCUAGUACCUUGGUAGAAAAUAUCCUUUUGUACCACUAGAUUGUUUAUCUCAUGUUUUCUGUUUCUUAAUAUUUGCUAAAGCUAGCUUUAGAGGCUAAAACCACUGCUGAAACAUUCGGUUUGAAAUGUGAAGUCACAAUUUUACUGGCUGUAUCAAGUGUUGGUGAUGAAAAAUAACUGGAUAACUGUGAUCAGUUUUGAUGCUUAGAGAGUUCUUUGUUUAUACACUUUUGGUAUUCUCAUCAUGUUGUUGAAGAAGUGGUGUGAGAGGAGUUAAAGGCAGUUCCAUCAAUGUUAAGUACAGUCAAAUUUGUAAUGUGGGCUUGUAUUGCUCUGUAUGAGUUGUCCUUUUUACAAUUGUUGUUUUCCCUUAGGAUACGUUGGAGACUGGACAGUGCAACAGGAUCUGUAUAUUGAUGAGGUUUUUGACUAUUUUGUGACUUGAAUAAUCAUGAAUCAAAAGGCUUUCAACAAAUCACCAGAAAGUUAAGAACUUUGUUUCAGCUGGAUCACUAGCAGCUUUACGAAACAAACAAAUACAAGAACACAAGAAGAAGAAGAAGAAUACAGGCCACAUAAAUGCAAAGGAAAAACAUCAAAAGUAGAAGGAGAAGUCAAACAACGUUCCAGAUAUAUCUCAAGUACCAGAAUAAGUGCAACAAGUGUCUCAUGAUUCUAUCUUUCCUGCAGCACCAGUAGAGGAGCAAGUGCAACAAGAAUUGCCAAACUCCAUCACUCUUUCAUCACAACCAGUAGUUGAACAAGUGCAGCAAGAUCAGUCACAACUUCCUAAUAUAUAUAUAUAUAUAUAUAUAUUAGUUCUUACUAAUCUAAAAUUAUCGGCAUUCCAAUAAUUUAUUGUUCAUAUUAUUGUAGUCCCUUCAAUUAGAAAAAGAAAAAGAGGAGUUACACAAAUGCAAGUAGUACACGACGGAGUGAUCGUUAACUGAUAGUGCUAAAUGAGUUGAACCAGCCUAUUGGUCCAACUAAAGCAGCAGUCACUGAGUUUUUCAGCUUUCUUGGCACAUUGGCAAGGAACAGGACAUUUUGUCCUCUUAAUGUUAGUUGGACACAGUUGAAGACACACGAUGAUAUGUGGAGCUAUAUCCAGGAGAAAUAUGACAUUCCCAACAACAGGAAAGAUUGGGCUAUAAGAUCAAUUGAUGUUGCUUUUAGAGGGUAUAGGGCCAUGUUUAAGAAAAAAUACUGUUAUGCCUAUGCCAACGAUGAAAUUCAAAGGGCAAUAGGCCUAACACUAUUUUAGAAUUUGUAUUUGAGGAUAUCCUGAAGUAUCGAAACUUCGAAGAAGCUAAGGUAUGAUAUCAAUAUGGACAAUUGUUAUAUUAUUAGUAGCAUGCAUUUAUCAUUGAACUCAUCAAGCCUGACUUUCCUUUUAACGUUGUUCUUUCUUUCAAUAUAAGGAAUUAAAUUUUGUGUGUUUAACCCUUCACUGCCUCAAUCUUUUUAUUAAAAACUUAUUCGUAAAUAUUGUAUUGCAGGAUACUUCCAUUACUAACAAAGAGAAUACGAAAAAGUUUAAGUAUCUGCACACUA